rnacentral:rRNA from 1 species
UACGAGGGGGGCGAGCGUUGUUCGGAAUUAUUGGGCGUAAAGGGCGCGUAGGCGGUGCGGUAAGUCUGUAGUGAAAUCUCUGGGCUCAACUCAGAGUCUGCUGCAGAAACUGCCGUGCUUGAGUGUGGGAGAGGUGAGUGGAAUUCCCGGUGUAGCAGUGAAAUGCGUAGAGAUCGGGAGGAACAACAGUUGCGAAGGCGGCUCUCUGGACCAGCACUGACACUGAGGCACGAAAGCGUGGGGAGCAAACAGG